rnacentral:rRNA from 1 species
AGAGACAGCAGCAGCCGCGGGAAAACGUAGGGUGCAAGCGUUAAUCGGAAUUACUGGGCGUAAAGCGUGCGUAGACGGUGAGUUAAGUCUGCUGUGAAAUCCCCGGGCUCAACCUGGGAAUGGCAGUGGAUACUGGCUCGCUAGAGUGUGUCAGAGGAUGGUGGAAUUCCCGGUGUAGCGGUGAAAUGCGUAGAGAUCGGGAGGAACAUCAGUGGCGAAGGCGGCCAUCUGGGACAACACUGACGCUGAGGCACGAAAGCGUGGGGAGCAAACAGGAUUAGAUACCCCUGUAGUCCCUGUCUCUUAUAC